rnacentral:rRNA from 1 species
GUGGGGAAUCUUGCGCAAUGGGCGAAAGCCUGACGCAGCCAUGCCGCGUGAAUGAUGAAGGUCUUAGGAUUGUAAAAUUCUUUCACCGGGGACGAUAAUGACGGUACCCGGAGAAGAAGCUCCGGCUAACUUCGUGCCAGCAGCCGCGGUAAUACGAAGGGGGCUAGCGUUGCUCGGAAUUACUGGGCGUAAAGGGCGCGUAGGCGGACAGCUUAGUCAGAGGUGAAAGCCCAGGGCUCAACCUCGGAAUUGCCUUUGAUACUGGCUGUCUUGAGUUUGGGAGAGGUGAGUGGAACUCCGAGUGUAGAGGUGAAAUUCGUAGAUAUUCGGAAGAACACCAGUGGCGAAGGCGACUCACUGGCCCAAUACUGACGCUGAGGCGCGAAAGCGUGGGGAGCAAACAGGAUUAGAAACCCGAGUAGUCC